CGCCACCAGAGCGCGGCACUGACCCGCUUCCUUGCCAACGCCAGGGGAACCCUCGGGCGCCUGCUUCGCGGAGGCCAAGCGACAGUCUCCUCCUUAUUCGGAAGGGAGAGGGUGGCAGCUGGGCCCCGCGGCCCCGCUCCGCCGAGGCCCAACGCCGGGACCUGGCCGAGCGGCCGGCGCGGCAGCCCGCGCGCCCCCCGCACCCGUCCGGGAGUCCGGGACGGGGUCCUCCUCCCCAGUUCCGAGCACGGGGAGAGCCAACAACGGGCCAGCGCCGCGGCCGGGGAGAGAGCGCGGCCCGGGCCUCGUGUCACUCACCGUUUGAAAUGCUCGAUGAUCUUCUCUUCCCGCACGUUCUCCGAUUUAUCAGAGGGGUAGUGCUUCCUUCUGUUGUACAUGGGGUGGCGAUCCGUGGGAGCAGACUCCACAGCACUCAACAACAACAGUGCUUCAGGCACAGGCCAGAUCUUCACUCUAUGGUGCCACUCACUGUCCACUUAAAUAGAAGCCAAUUGAUCAUCAAACUACACUACUUUGAAGUGACAGAUACGGUCACCAUAACCAAUGAUGAUUCAGCACCAAUAGGUGAGGUCACCUGUCCAAGUCAUCUUAUAUUUUGUUCCACAAAAGCUAAAGCCCUGACUGAGCCUUUCGUUUGCCUUAUAGUCUAACAUAAGUUUGUUAAAGACUGAGUCACAGAGACAGAGCAGAGAACUACCUCAGAGUCACAUCAACCUUUCCUGUAUUUUCUUUACUAGUCCAUGCUGUACUUAAUAAACUUGAUCUUAGAUCUGAUGAACUGAGAAAGCUGUCUUCUCUCCUUUCUCAGGACUUUCAGAAGGCUAAGUAAGCCCUCACAUUACACAGUUACAGCUGUUACAGGAUAGGCAGUCCCGGGUUACCAAUGAGAUCUGUUCCUAAGUCAAAUUUGUAAAUAAGUCAGAACAGGUACGUACAAUUCUUAUUUAGUGUCAGCCAAGUAUUUGUCUUAGCAUAUAGAUCUGUAUUUUACACGUAAACACUUCCAAACUGUGCAAUGUUUUCAUGAGUGUCGCAAAGUAUUGUGUGCAUUCCUUAUUACAAACCUUUGUAUGUAUUUAACUCAAAUUUUUAAUAUAAUAGGCUGUAUGACAGUCCAUUCCGAAGUACGAGUUGUCUGUAAGGCAUAAGUCACACUUUCGUAACCCAGGGACUGCCUGUACAGAAGCAAACCUUGCCAUCUUGGUUGACAUUUUUCCAUGGAACUGAUUUUGGAAAUUUAAUUAGUUACUUUUAAAAACAUUCAGAUUCUGGGCUAGAUAAUUCAACUGGUUUAUUUUCUAUGUUAUUUUCCUGAUUUAUGUUUUCAUUUUCUAUUUCAACACUUUUUUUUUUCCUGACUAUUUUGGGAACUUUAAUAAGGGCAGGAACAGAAGGAGAAGAUCUAAAAUAUGUGCCACCACAAUAGUGGCACAUAUUCAUAAUUUAGUUAAGGUAUUUAGUGCCAGGUUAGAGGUUGAUCUUGUCCUCAUGCAUAUCAAAGAGUCACUAAAUGAAAUGGAAAUUUUUAUUCUUGAAAAUAUGGAAUUGAUUCUUCAGUUAAAAAGGAAAAACAAAUCAAGCUACAUUAAGAUGUAGGAUUGGCCAUUUACAUUUGGCCAUUUCUGUCAUAACUGCUGUCACAUAAAUAGUACAACAUCAGCACAAUAUUACCUAAACUCAUGAACUAUAACAGUGAUUAUGUAGCUUUAGUUAGUGAGCCUCAAACUGACAUGCAUUUUCCCAUGAAGCAUAAAUUCAAUAUAAGCAACUACGGUUUGAGGUACGUUUGAAAAUAAGAUAUAAAUUGCUCAUCUAAAACCUGAUAGGCUCUGAAUUAACUGAAAACUUUUAGGAAAGACCAAAAAUGUCACCCUGAAGACCAGAGGAGGCCCAGCUCAACUGCAUAUAAAAGAGGCAACAGACAAAGAAGAGGAUUGAGAAAACAGUAUUUUGCAACUACAGAAAUAAAGGGCGUAUCUCACCUUGGAUGCAGCCUUCGGUUAAAAUCAUGCUGAAGAAAAAUUCAAGGGCCCAAAAAAAAAAAUGUAAAAGUCUUUUAGAAGCAAAAUCAUCAGAAGAGAGGCUAAAGUAAUGACUUAGUAUAGUAUUUUGUAUCCAUCUUUGACUGCCACAGAGCAAUAAAAGGAUAAACUAGAACAAAAUAAGAGGCAAUUAAUAUGUAUUUAUAAUACUUUCUCCAGAGCAUAAGAAUUAGGGAGAGUUAAAUUUAAGUAAAAAGUAACAUGUUUACCAAAUAAAUACAAAAACAAAUGUAGUUCUCCUAGAUUAGGCUAAGGGUCUUGCUACAGCAGUGCUGUUUCCCCAGGUAAAAAGCAGAGUAGAUACUUAAUUUUGAUAAGGUAAUUUGAAAUGGGCAAUGUUCUUUACAUACACUUUGAAGCCCCCCAACCUUUUAGAGAAGAGCAGAGGGAGUGGAAGGGAAAUUGUGGUAGACCAUUACUAAAAAAUUGUUAAGCAAAGUUGCGCUAAAGCUUUCCAGGAACCCUUAGAGAUCACAGAAUGUCAAGAAGACCUGAAGCAAAUUAAGAUACCAUUUUUCAUUUUACCAGAGAUCUAUCAAAAAAAAAAAAAAACGUAUAAACUGUCUGUUUA